rnacentral:lncRNA from 1 species
UUAAGCAUAAGAUGUAUUACUGAUAUUGUGACGCUCUUCUGCAGAUCAACGGCGAUGAUCUCCGCAACCUCAACGCCCAGCAGAAGUUCGGCGAGGGAGAGUUCUACGAAGUUGUCCAGGUCCCCAUGAACGACGUUCUUAAGCGGUUAAAUGAAUACAGCGAGGACGGCUACGUGAUCGACUCUCGCGUCUACACCUUCGCCCUCGGCCUGACCAUGGGGCUCAAAAUGGGCGCCGAGCAGAACGGUGACAAGGACGACGACGUCCAGAUAGUGACCAACAUCAUCGACCACUAGAGGCGACCCCCCCUCUACGUCUUCACCGGUGAACUCGCCGCACUGCAGUCCGAAACCCAAGUUUCCCUUGGCGGUGGACAAGCAUGAAAUCGUGCUACCGGCCGCAAGCCUAUCCGUGUCGCUAAAGAAGUUGCCUUCUAACCAUUCGAUCAACUUCGGGAAAAAAAAUUGCUUAAGCAACCAGUAAACUUGUCGCAUAUGGUGUGUAACAGAGGCCACCCGGAAUCAGCUAUAAAAAAAAAUCUUAUUCUGAUCGCGACAGGACAGCUCAUGAUCACAAUCAUAGAUGCAACCACUUCUCUCUAGUUUUUUUUUUUUUUGAAGUGCAGAGAGGACAGGUAGUUUUGAACUUCGAAGUCUUCCAGGCGGCGGGUGGAGCCGUGGAGCGUUUGUGUAUUAUGUUGAGUUUUCGUGAAAUGUGAGUGUCGUGCAUUGCAUGCCAUGUGUGUAUUGAUAUUUUGAACCCACGGACAAUUUUUUUUUUCAUUUCGCUGUUGUAAUUAUUAUAUUUUCCCCUAUGCUUUGUCUUAUGGUACCUGAAACUCACUCUUUUCUUUGAAACGCGCACAUGAUUAUUUUUUAAUAGCCGUCAAAACUCUGGGAACACCGCGGGAAUUAUAAUGAAUACAAAAUUAUCUAACGAUUGAAUAGAUUGUUAGCGCCAAAGAAUAGUGAAUGGUAUACGAAUGCAUUGAGACGAUAAAGAUAAUUAGCCACAAUAAUUAGCUAAUUAGCCACAGGUUCGUGAUAUUGGACUGGUCGCCAGCUAUUUGAACACACAUUUCGUAAAUUUACGCGGUCAUGACGCCUUCUCUACUCCCAGGUGUGUCUCAGAUCUGACACCAAAGCGCUGUAUCUGUACGUCGUUGAAUAAAGAGUGAUGUUAUCAUUUAUCGA